CAGCUGACCAGCAAGUGUCUGCAGUCCUCGGGAGCAGUACCAACACCUCUGGCCAUAUAAGUCUUUCAGUACCACAUGCGCCUAAUCAACCACCUCAGUCAAGUUUGGUUCAAUCCACUGCCACAAGCCCUUCAGGGCACCGACAAGGAGCAGCACAACUGUCCACAAGUUCACUGCUGGCCAGUACGCAAGGUUCCGGCAAUACUAGCACGCAGUCGAUCCAUCAACAUGGCCAAUCUGCGCCGGACCUUUUAACGCGUCAAGCAGCAUUAGGCGCAGCACAUCAGCAAAUAGCAACUGUCACGGCGGGCAGCGCUCAAGCCUCAGGCUCAAAACUCCAUUCCGGAUCAAGUGCGGGUCAUCUACCGGCUCCCUCACUUUCGGCUACAUCAACAGGCACAGGCCUUGUAGGACAGCACCUUGGAACAGGCGAGUCAGAAUGUGAC